UACAGAGGUCUCAAGCGUUGUUCGGAUUCAUUGGGCGUAAAGGGUGCGUAGGCGGCGCGGUAAGUCGGGUGUGAAAUCUCGGGGCUUAACUCCAAAACUGCAUUUGAUACUGGCGUGCUUGAGGACUGGAGAGGAGACCGGAAUUCAUGGUGUAGCAGUGAAAUGCGUAGAGAUCAUGAGGAAGACCAGUGGCGAAGGCGGGUCUCUGGACAGUUCCUGACACUGAGGCACGAAGGCCAGGGGAGCAAACGGG
rnacentral:rRNA from 1 species